rnacentral:tRNA from 1 species
UGCUCGGUAGCUCAGCGGUAGAGCAGGUGGCUGUUAACCACUUGGUCGCAGGUUCAAAUCCUGCCCGAGCAGCCA